GACGAAAGCUGGCGGCAUGCCUAACACAUGCAAGUCGAACGAAAAGUAGCAAUAUUUUAGUGGCGAACGGGUGAGUAACACUUGAGCAACCUACCUUAUACAUCGGGAUAACGCCUAGAAAUGGGUGCUAAUACCGAAUAAGACCACAGUAUGACAUCAUACAGGGGUCAAAGUUCAGGCGGUAUAAGAUGGGCUCGAGUCCAAUUAGCUAGAUGGUGAGAUAACCAGCCCACCAUGGCGACGAUUGGUAGCCGGCCUGAGAGGGUGAUCGGCCACACUGGAACUGAGACACGGUCCAGACUCCUACGGGAGGCAGCAGUGGGGAAUAUUGGGCAAUGGGCGAAAGCCUUACCCAGCAAUGCCGCGUGUGUGAAGAAGGUCUUCGGAUUGUAAAGCACUAAUUGGGGAAGAACACAAUGACGGUACCCAAGGAAAAAGCCCCGGCUAACUAUGUG
rnacentral:rRNA from 1 species